UGGGGAAUAUUGCACAAUGGGCGCAAGCCUGAUGCAGCCAUGCCGCGUGUGUGAAGAAGGCCUUCGGGUUGUAAAGCACUUUCAGCGGGGAGGAAGGCGAUAAGGUUAAUAACCUUGUCGAUUGACGUUACCCGCAGAAGAAGCACCGGCUAACUCCGUGCCAGCAGCCGCGGUAAUACGGAGGGUGCAAGCGUUAAUCGGAAUUACUGGGCGUAAAGCGCACGCAGGCGGUCUGUCAAGUCGGAUGUGAAAUCCCCGGGCUCAACCUGGGAACUGUAUUCGAAACUGGCAGACUAGAGUCUUGUAGAGCGGGGUAGAAUUCCUGGUUUAGCGCUGAAAUGCGUAGAGAUCUGGGGGAAUACCGGUGGCGAGGGCGGCCCCCGGGACUAAGACUGACGCUCAGGUGCGAAAGCGUGGGGAGCAAACAGG
rnacentral:rRNA from 1 species